UACGUAGGAUGCAAGCGUUGUCCGGAAUUAUUGGGCGUAAAGGGCGUGUAGGCGGUAAACCAAGUCAGAUGUGAAAUAUCCCGGCUUAACUGGGAGGGGCCAUUUGAAACUGGUUAACUAGAGUGCAGGAGAGGUCAGUAGAAUUCCCGGUGUAGUGGUGAAAUGCGUAGAUAUCGGGAGGAAUACCAGUGGCGAAGGCAGCAAGCUGGGCGACACCUGACGCUGAGGCGCGAAAGCGUGGGUAGCAAACAGG
rnacentral:rRNA from 1 species